CAGCCGCCGCGGUAAUACGGAGGGUGCGAGCGUUAAUCGGAAUUACUGGGCGUAAAGCGUACGCAGGCGGUUUGUUAAGUCAGAUGUGAAAUCCCCGAGCUUAACUCGGGAACUGCAUUUGAAACUGGCAGGCUAGAGUCUCGUAGAGGGGGGUAGAAUUCCACGUGUAGCAGUGAAAUGCGUAGAGAUGUGGAGGAAUACCGAUGGCGAAGGCAGCCCCCUGGGCCAAUACUGACGCUCAUGCACGAAAGUGUGGGGAGCAAACAGGAUUAGAGACCCCGGUAGUCCCUGUCUCUUAUAC
rnacentral:rRNA from 1 species